rnacentral:rRNA from 1 species
CUACGGGAUGCUCCAGUGGGGAAUCUUGCACAAUGGAGGAAACUCUGAUGCAGCGAUGCCGCGUGAGUGAAGAAGGCCCUUGGGUUGUAAAGCUCUUUCGUCGGGGAAGAAAAUGACUGUACCCGAAUAAGAAGGUCCGGCUAACUUCGUGCCAGCAGCCGCGGUAAUACGAAGGGACCUAGCGUAGUUCGGAAUUACUGGGCUUAAAGAGUUCGUAGGUGGUUGAAAAAGUUAGUGGUGAAAUCCCAGAGCUUAACUCUGGAACUGCCAUUAAAACUUUUCAGCUAGAGUAUGAUAGAGGAAAGCAGAAUUUCUAGUGUAGAGGUGAAAUUCGUAGAUAUUAGAAAGAAUACCAAUUGCGAAGGCAGCUUUCUGGAUCAUUACUGACACUGAGGAACGAAAGCAUGGGUAGCGAAGAGGAUUAGAUACCCGUGUAGUC